GUAUGUGAAAAUUAAGGACAGAUCCUAUGCUGACCUGAUAAACAAAGAUAGCUCUUUCGAGCUCAAUGUACAUUGAGUGUAACAAGAGGGAAGGAGGGAGGAAACCACUGCCCAUUUGGGAUUCCUUCAAAUUCACAUCUCUCCAAAAUGGGAGACUUGUAUUUUCUGACAUUCAACUUAAUCGAAGAAUAAAGCUUUAACAGUGGCAUCAGUGACAUGAUGAAUGAUGCAUCAUUUUGAAGUAAUAAUGGUUUUCCCAGUGACUCAGAAAUAGCAGUAUGUUCAGAUUCAGUGUGCCUGUUCAUGAGAGCUCUGCAGAAAUUGCACAUCUGGCUCUUUGCCUGUGCACCUGAAGUUAUCUCAGGAGAAAUUAUACAAAUUAAAUACAGACACAGAGAAGGUCUUUUUUAAUUCAAAGGAAAAGAAUAUAUAUUCAAGAAAAGCAAAAAAGCUGGUUUAAGACAUUCCUGGAAGGACACUGUGAAAGGAGACAAGUAGAAAAGAGCUUUCUUCUUCUAUCUGCUGUGCUGCUUUUCAACGUGACAGCCAAUCCAGAAGCAUGUGGCAAGCCUGGUGGCACUCACACCAGUGGUUCAUAUGGACAAGCUGCGGUCAACAUUCAGGAUGUUUUCUCAUCACCUAGCAGGCUACUCCUGUACAACACCUAUGACCAUGGUCUCUGGAAAGAUCUUCACUAUCACGUGCACUUACUUCAGCAUGUUUCUUUACCACUAGCAGUCUGCAUGUUCUUGCCCUUGCCAGAAAUACCUGAAUCUCUAUUAGCAGGGGACCUCGUCUAAGUUCUUAGUUCCUUCCUGAUUCACACUCUCUUAGCUCUAGAAGUGGUAGUUGUUUCCUGCAUUUGUGACUUUAAAACCAUUCAGUAUUCUUUUUUACCCCUUUCCAUAGUUAACAAAUAUGUAUACUGAAUUUUUCCUUCUUUAAAUACUAAUAUAUUUUCUAUUCCCUAACUGCAUCCUGACUAAUACAAAUACUAAAGGAUUUUCUCAGGCAGAAAUAAAAAGAUUCCAUAAUGGAACACAGGAAUCAAGAAAUAAAUGAGAAGCAAAGGUAAAAGUAAAUAUAAAUAUGAAAACUUAUUGACUGCAUCAUCAUGUCUUCUGAAGUUUAUAAUAUGUAAUGAAAUAAAAUGCAUGGCAACAAUAUCACAAAGGGUAGGAGAAUUAAUUCAGUCAAAUGAUUCUUACAUUCUUGCAUUUUCCAGGAAAAAGUUAAAGUACUAAUUGCAUUAGAUUUUAAUGUCAAGAUGAAUAAUGUAAUAGUGAAGAUAAUCCCUGAAACUAUAGUAUAUCUAAGUAUAAUUAAAACACUAAUGGAGAAGAAAUACUGAAUAAUAAUGGUACUAAUAAUAACAAUACUGGUCAUUACAGAAAUAGCUGAUAAAGUAGCGGAAAACAGGCAAAUAUAUGAAACAAAAAUCAAACAUUGACAGGAUGUUAAAUAUAAGCUAGAUACAAUAAUUAUUAUAUUAAUGGUAAAUGAAUUUUGAAACUCCAAAUAAAAUACACAUAUCAUCAUAUUGGUUUAAAGUAAAAUCAAACCCAAUUUCAUACUAAUUACUGCACAAACUAAGAUACAGAAUUUUACAGAAAUUAAAGAAAGUAAAAAAAAAGAACAAACAAAUAUUAUCCAAAAUAAAGCUGACAGUUUCAAUUUUUUUAAAAGGGAUAUUUCAAAAGGAUAAAAAAUUUUAAUUCUCAAUUUUCAUGGACUUAUUAACAUUCUCCUAGGAUAUAUAAAGCCAAACUUGAUAGAAUUUUUAACUAGGAGAACUAGAUAAAUCAAUUACCAUAAUGGGAGAAUUUAAAAUGCCACUGUCGCUAUCUGAUAGAAAAAAAAAGAUCUAUAAAAAUGGUGCUUCCUAUAGAUAUUUUAUAGAAACCCUUUAUCAACUUAAAGACAUUCUUCAUGCCUUAGUUAUCCAAGCACUUUAAAAAAUCAUUAUACAUAGUGACUUCCGCUGAAUAAAUUUUCUGUAUAUUGUGAUGAUAAUAUUAUUUCCUACUUUAAUGAUUUUAUGUAAUAAAUUAAUGUUUUUUCACUGAUGUUAAACCAACCUGGAAUUCCUUUUAUGAACUCAAUUUGAUCGAAAUGCAUUGUUUUUAAUGCAUUGAUGAAUUAGCUUGUUAAUUUGUUUAUGGUAUUGCAUCUAUACUCAUAAAAGUGAUUGAUCAAUAUUUUUCCUUUACUGUCUUUGUCUAAUAUUAC
rnacentral:tRNA from 10 species